rnacentral:tRNA from 1 species
UGGGGAGUCGCCAAGCGGUAAGGCAACAGACUUUGACUCUGUCAUGCGAAGGUUCGAUCCCUUCCUCCCCAG